GACAGGAGGAUGCAAGCGUUAUCCGGAAUGAUUGGGCGUAAAGCGUCUGUAGGUGGCCUUUUAAGUCCGCCGUCAAAUCCCAGGGCUCAACCCUGGACAGGCGGUGGAAACUACCAAGCUGGAGUACGGUAGGGGCAGGAGGGAAUUUCCGGGUGGAGCGGUGAAAUGCGUAGAGAUCGGAAAGAACACCAACGGCGAAAGCACUCUGCUGGGCCGACACUGACGCUGAGAGCGAAAGCUGGGGAGCAAACGGG
rnacentral:rRNA from 1 species